AUGGAGAGAUAUAGGGAGCAAAAGAAGGACUUGCAUAUGGUGUUCAUUGACUUGGAGAAGGCCUAUGAUAAGAUACCGCGGAAUGUCAUGUGGUGGGCCUUGGAGAAACACAAAGUCCUAGCAAAGUACAUUACCCUCAUCAAGGACAUGUACGAUAAUGUUGUGACAAGUGUUCGAACAAGUGAUGUCGACAUUGAUGACUUCCCGAUUAAGAUAGGACUGCAUCAGGGGUCAGCUUUGAGCCCUUAUCUUUUUGCAUUGGUGAUGGAUGAGGUCACAAGGGAUAUACAAGGAGAUAUCCCAUGGUGUAUGCUCUUUGUGGAUGAUGUGGUGCUAGUUGACGAUAGUCGGACGGGGGUAAAUAGGAAGUUAGAGUUAUGGAGACAAACCUUGGAAUCGAAAGGGUUUAGGCUUAGUAGAACUAAAACCAAGUACAUGAUGUGCGGUUUCAGUACUACUAGGUGUGAGGAGGAGGUUAGCCUUGAUGGCCAGGUGGUACCUCAGAAGGACACCUUUCGGUAUUUGGGGUCAAUGCUGCAGGAGGAUGGGGGUAUUGAUGAAGAUGUGAACCAUCAAAUCAAAGCCGGAUGGAUGAAGUGGCGCCAAGCUUCUAGCAUUCUCUGUGACAAGAGAGUGCCACAAAAGCUAAAAGGCAAGUUCUAA
rnacentral:rRNA from 1 species